rnacentral:rRNA from 1 species
AAUGAACGUUGGCGGCGUGGAUUAGGCAUGCAAGUCGUACGCCCCGCAAGGGGCGUGGCGCAAGGGUGAGUAAGGCGACGGCAACCAACCCCGAGGCCGGGUAUAGCCGGGCGAAAGCCCGGGUAAUCCCCGGCGCCGUCCAUGGGGGGGCAUCCCCCCGGGACGAAAGGUGCGAUUCCGCCUCGGGACGGGCCGUCGUGGUAUCAGGUUGUUGGCGGGGUAACGGCCCACCAAGCCUGCGACGCCUACCGGGCGUGCGAGCGUGGCCCGGCACACUGGGACUGAGACACUGCCCAGACACCUACGGGUGGCUGCAGUCGAGAAUCUUCGGCAAUGGGCGCAAGCCUGACCGAGCGACGCCGCGUGGAGGACGAAGGCCUUCGGGUUGUAAACUCCUGUCGAGGGGGAACAAGGGGCGGUGCAGAGCCGUCCUUGAGUGAUCCCUGGAGGAAGCACGGGCUAAGUUCGUGCCAGCAGCCGCAGUAAAAC